UUUCAUUGGAGUGUCAAGCCAACUUAGUUAAACGUUUACCUAAAAAAUUGUGAUCGAAGAUAAUUAGCACACCAUGGCUCAGUAUAAAGGAGCAGCCAGCGAAGCUGGGCGCAGUGAAGCGCUACUAAAACAGCGUGAACUUGAAAAGCUUCAAUUUGAAUUGAAAAAAAAAGAAAUUCAAGACAAAAAUAAAUUAAAGGAGAUGGAUAAUAAAUUUAAAGUUGUUACUGAGGAUGUUACGAGUGCUUUAAGCGAUCAGACUCUCGGCUUAUUACGGCUCGACGAUUUCAGACAACGGAGAGAAAAUUUAGAAAAACUUUU